rnacentral:tRNA from 1 species
GGCACAUUAGCGCAGUUGGUUAGAGCAUCGUGCUAAUAACGCGGGGGUCGGGGGUUCGAGUCCCUCAUGUGCCA